UGGCUCAGAACGACGCUGGCGGCAGGCCUAACACAUGCAAGUCGAGCGGGACCUUCGGGUCUAGCGGCGGACGGGUUAGUAACGCGUGGGAACGUGCCCAAAGGUACGGAAUAGCCUCGGGAAACUGAGAGUAAUACCGUAUGUNCCCCGUCGGGGGAAAGAUUUAUCGCCUUUGGAUCGGCCCGCGUUGGAUUAGGUAGUUGGUGGGGUAAUGGCCUACCAAGCCGACGAUCCAUAGCUGGUUUGAGAGGAUGAUCAGCAACACUGGGACCGAGACACGGCCCAGACUCCUACGGGAGGCAGCAGGUGGGAAUCUAGACAAUGGGGAAACCCUGAUCUAGCCAUGCCGCGUGAGCGAUGAAGGCCUUAGGGUUGUAAAGCUCUUUCAGAUGGGAAGAUAAUGACGGUACCAUCAGAAGAAGCCCCGGCUAACUCCGUG
rnacentral:rRNA from 1 species